rnacentral:rRNA from 1 species
CGGACAGUGUCUGGUGGGUAGUUUGACUGGGGCGGUCUCCUCCUAAAGAGUAACGGAGGAGCACGAAGGUUGGCUAAUCCUGGUCGGACAUCAGGAGGUUAGUGCAAUGGCAUAAGCCAGCUUGACUGCGAGCGUGACGGCGCGAGCAGGUGCGAAAGCAGGUCAUAGUGAUCCGGUGGUUCUGAAUGGAAGGGCCAUCGCUCAACGGAUAAAAGGUACUCCGGGGAUAACAGGCUGAUACCGCCCAAGAGUUCAUAUCGACGGCGGUGUUUGGCACCUCGAUGUCGGCUCAUCACAUCCUGGGGCUGAAGUAGAUCCCAAGGGUAUGGCUGUUCGCCAUUUAAAGUGGUACGCGAGCUGGGUUUAGAACGUCGUGAGACAGUUCGGUCCCUAUCUGCCGUGGGCGCUGGAGAACUGAGGGGGGCUGCUCCUAGUACGAGAGGACCGGAGUGGACGCAUCACUGGUGUUCGGGUUGUCAUGCCAAUGGCACUGCCCGGUAGCUAAAUGCGGAAGAGAUAAGUGCUGAAAGCAUCUAAGCACGAAACUUGCCCCGAGAUGAGUUCUCCCUGAGACUUUAAGUCUCCUGAAGGAACGUUGAAGACGACGACGUUGAUAGGCCGGGUGUGUAAGCGCAGCGAUGCGUUGAGCUAACCGGUACUAAUGAACCGUGAGGCUUAACCUUACAACGCCGAAG